ensembl:misc_RNA predicted gene, 27894
CCUUCCAUCAGGCUGGGCUUGGAGAUUAUGUGAAGCCUCUCUUGAGAUUUCCUGAACUCUGUGGAUUUGUAGUAAGACACACAAUAAUAGUA